AUAGACGUGUAGAAGGCACAUCAGGGAGAGUGUCGGGGUCAGGCCAGAAACUUCACAUUAAAUCAGGGAGGAUUUGUUUGGGGCUCACAUUUAGACAGAGAACAAAGACUUCUCUGUCAUUUUUGUAGUUUUGUUCAUUUGUAUUUGAAAAUAGCAGUUCUCUCUCUGGCCUGACUGCAUCCCUUUGAUGGUAACUGAAGCUUUCCAUUGCAGCGGUGCUCCUGACGGGGGCGACAUUGAACCUGCUCAGGGCUCAGGGCUCCUCUUCCCGGCUCUGUGGCCUCCCCGAACAUGAGUAACACUAUGGCCUGCAAAGAUAGGACUUAAUUGUCCUUAAAAGGAAAAAUGCCUGCAUGACCAGAGUUGGACCAAGCCAGAACAGGAGCCCCUGAGAAGUGCUAGGGCUCACUGGCAGACAAAACUCAGCGCUUUAUUUCCUUUGUAGAUGUUGAUGCAGGUAAGUGGCAUUGGGACAGUAUGACGUGUUUCAUGAUGACAGUCACGCUCUGCUUGGUGACCUCUGACCUCCCUCUUCAGGGGCUCUGGAGGUUAACAUUUUUGUACAUCCACACCGGAAAGAAUGUACUCAAGAGUAGAAAAUGUGGGAGGAAUUUAGUGAAUGAAUAGAACUUAGCGGGCAGAGAAAAUAACUAGGUAAUUUUGUCCACCAAAAACCCCAAUUACCAG
rnacentral:lncRNA from 1 species